AGUGAACGCUGGCGGUAGGCCUAACACAUGCAAGUCGAACGGCAGCACACUACGAGCUUGCUCUUACUGGUGGCGGGUGGCGGACGGGUGAGGAAUACAUCCGAAUCUACUGGUUCGUGGGGGAUAACGUUGGGAAACUUACGCUACUACCGCAUGCGACCUACGGGUGGCAGCAAGGGAUCUUCGGACCUUGCGCGAUUGAAUGAGCCGAUGUCGGAUUAGCUGGUUGGCGGGGUAAAGCCCACCAAGUCGACGAUCCGUAGCUGGUCUGAGAGGAUGAUCAGCCACACUGGAACUGAGACACGAUCCAGACUCCUACGGGAGGCAGCAGUGGGGAAUAUUGGACAAUGGGCGCAAGCCUGAUCCAGCCAUACCGCGUGGGUGAAGAAGGCCUUCGGGUUGUAAAGCCCUUUUGUUGGGAAAGAAAAGCAGCAGGUUAAUACCCCGCUGUUCUGACGGUACCCAAAGAAUAAGCACCGGCUAACUUCGUG
rnacentral:rRNA from 1 species